AGGCGACGACGGGUAGCCGACCUGAGAGGGUGAUCGGCCACACUGGGACUGAGACACGGCCCAGACUCCUACGGGAGGCAGCAGUGGGGAAUAUUGCACAAUGGGCGCAAGCCUGAUGCAGCGACGCCGCGUGAGGGAUGACGGCCUUCGGGUUGUAAACCUCUUUCGGCAGGGACGAAGCGCAAGUGACGGUACCUGCAGAAGAAGCACCGGCCAACUACGUGCCAGCAGCCGCGGUAAUACGUAGGGUGCGAGCGUUGUCCGGAAUUACUGGGCGUAAAGAGCUCGUAGGCGGUUUGUCGCGUCGUCUGUGAAAUUCUGCAACUCAAUUGCAGGCGUGCAGGCGAUACGGGCAGACUUGAGUACUACAGGGGAGACUGGAAUUCCUGGUGUAGCGGUGAAAUGCGCAGAUAUCAGGAGGAACACCGGUGGCGAAGGCGGGUCUCUGGGUAGUAACUGACGCUGAGGAGCGAAAGCGUGGGGAGCGAACAGGAUUAGAUACCCUGGUAGU
rnacentral:rRNA from 1 species